rnacentral:lncRNA from 1 species
AGUUUUAUGUCUUUAAACUCAUGUUACUCCCGGUGAGAUAUUCAGCCACUUCUUCUAAUUGGCCCGUCUUGUCUUACACCAUUUUUUACGGAUUGCCGACGGGGCCGGAAUGGACCCGUUUUACCAUCCAUAUUUCAAUUUGAAGUUUCGGGUAUAUAAAUAAAAUAUAUUAUAUUAUUUCAGCUACUCUUUCUUUUCAUUAUUUUUGAGUAAAUUCUUUUCCAUAUUGUAGAGUACAUCAACUAAAGAUAAUAAUUUCUAUUAUUAAACAUAGGAGCUCUAAUGGCUAUCUCAAAUAAAAUUUUAAUUCCGUCCUUUAAUUUGAGAUUACGUACAAUAUAAAUCUCUUACAAUCGACCGUCUUUUAUUUCGACACACUUGCAUUUAAAAGAAAUGCAUUUUGGAACCAAAGGAGAUUUACAAAACCACCGGGAACAAUCAAUCGUAUCCUUGCACUUUACCAAGAAUGUUAUUGCUGCAAUAAAAAAAAAGUUUCUGAAAGAGGUGAGUUAUUUUGUAGUAUAUAAGAUAAAUAAAAAAGUUCAAAAGAGUACAAAAUUUAUUUACCAGUAACGUCAGUUACAACAAAUAAUAAGGAAAUAACGAGGAUUAUUAAAUAAAUAAACUUUAAAAUUUCAGCCAUAUUUUUUCUUCAAAAUUUGCAAAUGUAUUGGUCACUUUAUGUAAUAAAACUACUAUGUCUUGUUUAUUUGUUUCAAUUAUUUACACUUAUAUAUAGAUCUUCA